rnacentral:tRNA from 1 species
GAAACGUUAGCUCAAAGGAAGAGUACUGACCUUCCACGUCAGAGGUUGCGGGUUCGAGUCCCGCACGUUUCG